rnacentral:rRNA from 1 species
UGGUGGCGACCGGCGCACGGGUGAGUAACGCGUAUGCAACCCCCCUAUCAGAGGGGAAUAACCCGGCGAAAGUCGGACUAAUCCCGCAUAAAACAGGGACACCGCAUGGUGAUAUUUGUUAAAGAAAUUCGCUGAUAGAUGGGCAUGCGUUCCAUUAGGUAGUUGGUGAGGUAACGGCUCACCAAGCCGACGAUGGAUAGGGGAACUGAGAGGUUGGUCCCCCACACUGGUACUGAGACACGGACCAGACUCCUACGGGAGGCAGCAGUGAGGAAUAUUGGUCAAUGGGCGAGAGCCUGAACCAGCCAAGUCGCGUGAAGGAAGAAGGAUCUAUGGUUCGUAAACUUCUUUUGCAGGGGAAUAAAGUGCAGGACGUGUCCUGUUUUGUAUGUACCCUGAGAAUAAGGAUCGGCUAACUCCGUGCCAGCAGCCGCGGUAAUACGGAGGAUCCGAGCGUUAUCCGGAUUUAUUGGGUUUAAAGGGUGCGUAGGUGGUUUGAUAAGUCAGCGGUGAAAGUUUGCAGCUUAACUGUAAAAAUGCCGUUGAAACUGUCGGACUUGAGUGUAAAUGAGGUAGGCGGAAUGCGUGGUGUAGCGGUGAAAUGCUUAGAUAUCACGAAGAACUCCGAUUG